GACGAACGCUGGCGGCGUGCUUAACACAUGCAAGUCGAGCGGUAAGGCCCUUUCGGGGUACGACGAGCGGCGAACGGGUAGGAGUAACACGUGGGUGGACCUCGCCCUCCAGCUCUGGGAGUAAGCCUGGGAAACCGGGUACGUAAUACUGGAUAUGACUCCAUGACGCAUGUUGUGGGGUGGAAAGCCUUGUGCGGCUGAGGAUGGGCCCGCGGCCUAUCAGCUUGUUGGUGGGGUGAUGGCCUACCAAGGCGACGACGGGUAGCCGG
rnacentral:rRNA from 1 species